rnacentral:rRNA from 1 species
UUUAUGGAGAGUUUGAUCCUGGCUCAGGAUGAACGCUGGCGGCGUGCCUAAUACAUGCAAGUCGAGCGAACGGACGAGAAGCUUGCUUCUCUGAUGUUAGCGGCGGACGGGUGAGUAACACGUGGAUAACCUACCUAUAAGACUGGGAUAACUUCGGGAAACCGGAGCUAAUACCGGAUAAUAUUUUGAACCGCAUGGUUCAAAAGUGAAAGACGGUCUUGCUGUCACUUAUAGAUGGAUCCGCGCUGCAUUAGCUAGUUGGUAAGGUAACGGCUUACCAAGGCAACGAUGCAUAGCCGACCUGAGAGGGUGAUCGGCCACACUGGAACUGAGACACGGUCCAGACUCCUACGGGAGGCAGCAGUAGGGAAUCUUCCGCAAUGGGCGAAAGCCUGACGGAGCAACGCCGCGUGAGUGAUGAAGGUCUUCGGAUCGUAAAACUCUGUUAUUAGGGAAGAACAUAUGUGUAAGUAACUGUGCACAUCUUGACGGUACCUAAUCAGAAAGCCACGGCUAACUACGUGCCAGCAGCCGCGGUAAUACGUAGGUGGCAAGCGUUAUCCGGAAUUAUUGGGCGUAAAGCGCGCGUAGGCGGUUUUUUAAGUCUGAUGUGAAAGCCCACGGCUCAACCGUGGAGGGUCAUUGGAAACUGGAAAACUUGAGUGCAGAAGAGGAAAGUGGAAUUCCAUGUGUAGCGGUGAAAUGCGCAGAGAUAUGGAGGAACACCAGUGGCGAAGGCGACUUUCUGGUCUGUAACUGACGCUGAUGUGCGAAAGCGUGGGGAUCAAACAG